rnacentral:rRNA from 1 species
UACGUAGGUGGCAAGCGUUGUUCGGAAUUACUGGGCGUAAAGGGCUCGUAGGCGGCCAACUAAGUCGGAUGUGAAAUCCCCAAGCUUAACUUGGGAACUGCAUCCGAUACUGGAUGGCUUGAAUCCGGGAGAGGGAUGCAGAAUUCCAGGUGUAGCGGUGAAAUGCGUAGAUAUCUGGAGGAAUACCGGUGGCGAAGGCGGCAUCCUGGACCGGCAUUGACGCUGAGGAGCGAAAGCUAGGGGAGCAAACGGG